GGUUGUAGCUCAGUGGUAAAGCACUUGCCUCGCACGUAUGAGGCACUGGGUUCAAUCCCCAGGACCA
rnacentral:tRNA from 1 species